rnacentral:rRNA from 1 species
CCCGCUGAACUUAAGCAUAUAACUAAGCGGAGGAAAAGAAACUAACCAGGAUUCCUUUAGUAACGGCGAGUGAACAAGGAAGAGCCCAUCACCGAAUCCUUCUCGGCCUUCGGGUAAGGAGUUGUGGUGUAAAGGAUAAUCUUUGCUAUAGUACCGUCGGCCCGAGUUCUCUUGAAUGGGGCUCCCAUAGCGGGUGUCAGGCCUCUAGCGGCUGAUCGGUACUGUAUCUUUGGUUGUCCCGAGAGUCGGGUUGCUUGAGAUCGCAGCCCUAAUACGGGUGGUAAACUCCAUCCAAGGCUAAAUACCGUCGCGAGACCGAUAGCGAACAAGUACCGUGAGGGAAAGAUGAAAAGAACUUUGGAAAGAGAGUUAAACGGUACGUGAAAUUGCUGAAAGGGAAACGCUUGAAGUCAGUCGCGUUGUCCGGGGAUCAACCUUGCUUUUGCUGGGCGUACUUCCCGGUUGACGGGUCAGCAUCAAUUUUGACCGUUGGAUAAAGUCUAGGGGAAUGUGGCAUCUUCGGAUGUGUUAUAGCCCUUGGUCGCAUACAACGGUUGGGAUUGAGGAACUCAGCACGCCGCAAGGCCGGGUAUUCGUACCACGUUCGUGCUUAGGAUGCUGGCAUAAUGGCUUUAAUCGACCCGUCUUGAAACACGG